rnacentral:lncRNA from 1 species
GCACCAUAGUCUAAGAAACCAUUUUGGACGCACUUGUUGGUACUCCUAGGUGAAGGGGCUCAAGUGGAUGCUCGGUUCGGUCUAUUUGGAGAUAGUGCUAAUCUUGAUGCAAGAUAGGUGCAUGGUUUACAUGGAACAUACCAUAUGCUUGGAAAUCAAUUUGGAUGCACCCGAUGGAACUGCUUGACGACGUGUGCCAUAUGGAAUCUCGCUU